AUUUUGAUACAGAAAAAUAAUGGAUGUGUAAAUUGACAAUUGCUGAACCAGUCUUGUGGGACAGGGAACAACACCUGGACAGGGUGAUGAAGCUGCAGGUGAAGCCCAGCCUUACACCAAGUUUCCACUGUGAGUAUUUAAAACUGCAGGACAUCCUGGAUCCUAUUGCAUGGAGGGAUGC